rnacentral:snoRNA from 1 species
AUCCUCCAGAUUCCUUACCCAUACACCGAAACACUGGUCAGAGUGGCUAUCAAAGGAGGAAAAAUAAAAGUAAAAUGGACUUAAUUCUUUAUUUUUUGCUCAGUUUAUUGGGGGCAGUU